GGAGGUUUAGACACUGGGACAGCACGGGAGGGAGGCUGCAGUGGGGUCUGGCUGUGGGGCGGGGUGGAGUAGGGAAGGCCAGGGAAUUGCUGCUGCUGAAGGGGGAGCGUGUGGGGUUGGACAUACACCAGGGUGGGUGUCUGGUGUACAAGGGAAAGCUCUGGCCCCCAUGAUGAGCGGGGCAGGUUGCACAAGGAGGGGACGGGGAACUCCCUGCAGAGAGAGAUGGGGCGGGAGUGGGAUUUCCUGCUUUUCUCCCCACUCGGAGGGACCGUUAUGUGGAGCUGUUCUGCUCCUCCCCAGUGGCAGCUGCGUCUCUGUGCCACAUGAGUUGUUCCCGGCGUAGCCAGCCGGAUUUCCCUCUUACAGUAGCUCUGGGCCGGCCUGACUGUUCCUUGGAUUGGAAUGCGCUCAAGGGAGGGAAAUUCCCCACCCUUUUUUCAUAUUUCCUGGUUUCACUCCGGACAGGGAACCGUCGGUUGAAGUACAUCAGCCUGGCAGUGCUAGUGGUCCAAAACGCCUCCCUCAUCCUGAGCAUCCGCUACGUGCGAACCCUGCCCGGGGAGCGCUUCUUCGCCACCACGGCUGUGGUGAUGGCUGAGCUGCUCAAGGGAGCCACCUGCCUGCUGCUCAUCUUCCUCCAGAAACAAGGCAGCGUGCGGCAGUUUGCCCUGUUCCUGUACGACGCCGUGGUGGUGCAGUACGUGGACACGCUGAAGCUGGCGGUGCCCUCGCUGAUCUACACGCUGCAGAACAACCUCCAAUACGUCGCCAUCUCCAACCUGCCGGCAGCCACCUUCCAGGUCACCUACCAGCUGAAGAUCCUGACCACGGCCGUCUUCUCGGUCCUGAUGCUUCGCAAGAGCCUGUCGCGCCUGCAGUGGGUGUCCCUGCUGCUGCUCUUUGCCGGCGUGGCCAUCGUCCAGGUGGAGCAGGGCCAGGCGGGCGGGGGGAGCUCCCCGGGUGCCGCCCAGCAGAGCUACGCCGUCGGCCUGGUCGCCGUGGUGGUCUCCUGCCUCUCCUCGGGCUUCGCCGGCGUCUACUUCGAGAAGAUCUUGAAGGGCAGCUCGGCCUCCGUGUGGCUCCGCAACGUGCAGCUGGGCAUCUUCGGGACCCUGCUGGGGCUGCUGGGAAUGUGCUGGGCCGAGGGGGCGGCUGUGGCUGCCCAGGGCUUCUUCCAUGGCUACAGCCCGCUGGUGUGGGGCGUCAUCCUCAACCAGGCCUUCGGCGGCCUCCUGGUGGCCGUGGUGGUGAAGUACGCGGACAACAUCCUCAAGGGCUUCGCCACCUCGCUCUCCAUCGUGGCCUCCACCGUGGCCUCCAUGUACCUCUUCGGCUUCCGCCUGCACCCGCCCUUCGCCCUGGGGGCCGGGCUGGUCAUCGGGGCCGUCUACAUGUACAGUCUGCCCAAGGCCGGGCCGCCCCUGGGCCCUCGCCAGGAGCCCACGGCCCUGCUGCCCCUCGGCAAGGAACCCAGCGAGCCGGGCUACCCGCCCAAGUCAGUGCUGGUCGAGUGAGGCCUGCUAGGGGGUGGGGUGGGGGGGUCUCUCCUGGGCCCCGAGCCCCUCCAGAGCCUCUCUCUGCCCCUCCUACCUGGGCUUCUGCCCCAUGUCUCCCUCACUUGAGUGGUCUUUGGGGGGAAGCACGUCCCCCUUUCCCACCCCCCCUCCAAACAUUCUGCUGCUGCCUCCCCGUGUCUCCCCCGCCCCACAUCUAUCCCCCACCCUGCUCCAGUUCAGACUGUUCCCCUCUCCUGGGUCCAGAUGACGGACACCCCCCACUUGGCCCAGGAGAGGCAUUUAGGUGCACACUACAGGGGGGACAAGUUAUGCGGGGGUCACCUCCGCCCCCAAAGAGACCAUGACCCCCCCGCCCUUGAGCUGUGGGGGGUCGGCAAAUGGAUUGAACCAGAGGAUUAUUUUUGUACGAUACCAAAGCAGCCCCGAUGGACAGUGCAUGAAGAUGGGGGGCAGGAGGGAGCCCCCAGGAAUGGCUCGGCCAUACCAAGCUGGCAUCUGGAGGAAGGACUCGCCACCCUUCCAAAGGGUGAUGAUUGGCCUGGGCAGCGUGGGAGUGCUGCCCACGGCACCCCCUUUGUCAGAGUACUCUCUCACACAGCCCCCUAAGUUGUGUGUUGGGGGAAAGUGCUGGGAGCCAGGACUCCUGGGUUCUCCCCCCGGCUCUGGGAGGGGAGUGGGGUCUAGUGGUUAGAACAGGAGAGCUGGGAGUCAGGACUCGCUGUCUGUAAAUUUCAGCUGAGUUACUCCCCCAGCUCUGUGACUCAGUUUCCCCCGGGUGUUCCAGGACGCUGCCCUGCCCUGGCUCCUUGGGGCUUGGCUGGGUGAGAGCAAACGGCUGUGACCUGCCAUUAAUUACUAAUCCAUCUCCCUGGCGGGAGGCAGCAUCCCUGGGCGGGCAGUUCCCAGGGGCAGUGGGGACAGAUGCUGCCAUUGGUACCAGACAGCGGGGAGCAGCCAGUGUGAAUGUGCAUCGCGCCCCGACUCCACUGCGAAUCCCUUCCCAGCAGCUUGGGGGCUGGCCCCAUUGACGCUGCCGGGGGUCAUACCCGGGGACUCCAUGGAGCGACGGCCGAUGGACACAGGCGGGGGGCUGGCCCCAACCUCACACAAAUGAGGCUGGCAUGUAAAGAGAAGGGCUCCUGAGUCAGGCAGUGACUGGGGCGGGGCGACGUUCGCCAUGUCUGGAAGCAUCCAGCCCCGGCUUCAGCAGGGGCCCCUCCGCCCUGCCCCAUCCCGGGGCCAGGUGAGGCAGCCUGGGAUCCUGCCCGUGGCUUUCAGAAAGAAGUAGGAGAUGCAGUGGAAGGGGAGGGCUGGGAGCCAGGACUCCUGGGUUCUCUGCUGGCUCUGGGAGGGGAGUGGGGACUGGUGGUUAGA